UUUUUUGUUUUGGGGCCCCCCACGCGCGCAAUCCAGCUCCCAAUAGCGUAUAUUUAAGUUGUUGCAGUUAAAAAGCUCGUAGUUGGAUUUCGGGUGGGGUGGUGCGGUCCGCCUCUGGUGUGCACUGCUCCGCUCCACCUUCCUGCCGGGGACGGGCUCCUGGACUUCACUGUCUGGGACUCGGAGUCGGCGAGGUUACUUUGAGUAAAUUAGAGUGUUCAAAGCAGGCCUACGCUCUGAAUACAUUAGCAUGGAAUAACACGAUAGGACUCUGGCCUAUCUGUUGGUCUGUGGGACUGGAGUAAUGAUUAAGAGGGGUAGUCGGGGGCAUUCGUAUUCCGUUGUCAGAGGUGAAAUUCUUGGAUUUACGGAAGACGAACAUCUGCGAAAGCAUUUGCCAAGGAUACUUUCAUUGAUCAAGAACGAAAGUUGGGGGCUCGAAGACGAUUAGAUACCGUCGUAGUCUCAACCAUAAACGAUGCCGACUAGGGAUUGGCGGAUGUUCUUUUGAUGACUCCGCCAGCACCUUAUGAGAAAUCAAAGUUUUUGGGUUCCGGGGGGAGUAUGGUCGCAAGGCUGAAACUUAAAGGAAUUGACGGAAGGGCACCACCAGGCGUGGAGCCUGCGGCUUAAUUUGACUCAACACGGGGAAACUUACCAGGUCCAGACACGGGAAGGAUUGACAGAUUGAGAGCUCUUUCUUGAUUCUGUGGGUGGUGGUGCAUGGCCGUUCUUAGUUGGUGGGUUGCCUUGUCAGGUUGAUUCCGGUAACGAACGAGACCUCAGCCUGCUAAAUAGUCAACAUCGCACCUGCGGUGUGCCGACUUCUUAGAGGGACUAUUGGCGUUCAGCCAAUGGAAGUGUGAGGCGAUCACAGUCAUAUAGAUCCCCCCUAUAAAAA
rnacentral:rRNA from 1 species